rnacentral:rRNA from 1 species
CAGCAGCAGCCGCGGGAAUACGAAGGGGGCUAGCGUUGUUCGGAAUUACUGGGCGUAAAGCGCACGUAGGCGGAUAUUUAAGUCAGGGGUGAAAUCCCAGAGCUCAACUCUGGAACUGCCUUUGAUACUGGGUAUCUUGAGUAUGGAAGAGGUGAGUGGAAUUCCGAGUGUAGAGGUGAAAUUCGUAGAUAUUCGGAGGAACACCAGUGGCGAAGGCGGCUCACUGGUCCAUUACUGACGCUGAGGUGCGAAAGCGUGGGGAGCAAACAGGAUUAGAUACCCCCGUAGUCCCUGUCUCUUAUAC